UUCACCGGGCGCUGCCAUGUUUUCACAGACAUAAACUGUGGCAUUCUGUCCACUGGAGAAGCAGAUUGGUUUUGGCUGCACCAGCUCGUGGGGAGAGCACUCGCACCUGGGUUGCGUUAGAUAAUCAGCCCAGGUGCUUAAAGGUGUGCUGCUCUCCACAGUUCGAGGCCAAGACCGGGAGCUCACACCGAGAGCGCGUUUCGUUAUUUCGUUUUUGUUUGAGUGUUUGUCUGUUUAUUUCAUUCGCGUUUGUGUGGGUGCACUCUCUCUCUCCAUGUGGCACCAAAUGGUGUUUUCCAGAACUGCCACAUCUCCCGUCCAGGGGUGUCACGCCAGCGUUGAGACAUAAUCAUUAGCGGGUUGAGUACAGUAUUUUUUCUUUGUGAUACUGAUCUGCCAUCUCCCACGCAGAGACUAUGGCAGUCUAUUGGUGUCAAAGCUCAAGGAGGAGGAAUACGUGGGGACGUGCUACGCAGUGGUGUGAAAAUGAGUGACCGAGCAAGUUUAGCACCUCCUGAAUCCCCAUCUUCCCUGGGGAGGAGGAGCAAGGACGGAGACUCCGCAGACCAAGGUCUCCACCUGCCAAGGAAACAGUACUUCUGACAAAAGCUCUUGAAGUGUCCACACCUUGGCUCUGCUGUUUGACCCCGUACUGAAGUGCACGAUCGAACCCGGGCUCUUAGACGGCUGUGUGGAGCCCUGGGCAUCAUUUCCAGUGUUAACAGAGAAGGAGAUUGUAGAAUUAAGCAUUGGAACUCAGAAAUGAACCAUGCUUGUCAACUUAUAUACACAUAUAUCUUUAUAAUUUUUUUUUGGUUAAUUUGUAUUGAUUAUACAUUUAUAAAUGAGAUACCUUUAAGAGGAAACAAAAACAGCUUCUCGAAAGUGGGAGUAAUGUUUGUCAUUGCUGCCAAUCAAUUUUCAAUUGAUUACCUCUCCUUUCUUUAAUUAUGAGUAAGGUCGCCAUUUUUUCUAAAGCUUGUGACCCGCAAAUGAGAUUUAAACUUACAUUGCAAUCGAUAUCCUCACGGGGGCCCCCAUAGACACUGGAUUAGCUCAAUCACCUGGCUAAUCACAUAAUUAGUGGUUAGUAAUGUCCCUCAUUAAAGCAAUUCAUUUUCCUAAAACAUGGGGGGGAAGGAAAGCAAACACAGGCAACAGUGUCAACCAAAAAAUGAUCUUAGCGGCAGCUUGUCCCUGUAUCCAUCAGGUAGACUGCACACAGAUGGAUUCAAUGUAUUCUCCACAGUUCGCAAUUUAUCUGCAUGUACACAAAACAAUGGUAGAUUGACAGUUAUAAUAAAAAGCCUAAACGAUGGUCUAGUACGGGAGAAUACUCUUUUAGCAGAGCACAAGAGUGCUUCAUCCACAAUUUCACCAAUAAAUACUGGGGAAAAAGUGGAUAACCUUAAAUUUCAUGCAUUUCUCAAUAAGUGUCAAUGGCAGUGGUGUUGCACAGCAUAGCAAAAUCCCUAUACCCUCCAAAACAAGUCACAUUUCUUUCAUUCUUUCAACUUUGCAAUCAAAAUGUAUGUAUUAUUUAACAACUAUUUAAAAUA